GGAAAGCAGAAACUAAAACCACAAAUCAGAGAAAGCACAUUACAUAGCUGUAAUUAUUGUGUUAUACAAUGGCAUUGACUUGUUACCAAUCCAAUCACAGAAGACUUCUCAGAUGCUCUGUAACUGAGAAAACGAAAUCCGGAUGGUUGAGCUACCAAGAGAUGUAGCAUUUUUGCAUACGAGUGCCUCAGUUGCCUGCUCCUCCUUUUCAAAAAGAACAAGAGCCUGCUGUUUGCCGUUCAUCUCAAAAAGCUUACUAUUGACUAUGGGACCAUGCUCCUCCAAAUGUGCGAUAAUCUCUGCCUCCGUUACAUCCUGGGGUAAGGAGGAUAGGUGGAUCAUCUUGGUAGGGGAGCAGCAGUACCGAUAGUUUUUAGCAGCAUUACGGUUAAAGCGGUUUAGAUUUGAAUUUGAGUAGUCAUGUGUGUCAGGUCCUGUAGUAAUAUUGGGAUACUUUGAGAAGUUGACUUCCAGACGCUUUUCAAAUAACACGGCACCCUUCAAAAAGUGAACAGCCAGCUCCGCCUGGAACCCAUCACCCAGCUGAACUAAGGCAUGAUCUGGUUUAUUGCGCAGAAUCUUAAUGCUGACAAUAUUUCCAUAAAGAGAGCACAGAUUAAAAAGUUUGUCCUCAUUUAUUCUAUCUGAAUUUAAAUUUGAAACAAGAAUAGUGCAUCUGUCAUUUGUCCCGCUAAUUCCAGGUGGCAGACCACCAGCAAACGCAGCUGCAAUUGCUUCUGCAUUUCCCAUCUGAGGAAAUCCACCUGGAUGAACUCCAGAACCUUGGAAGGAAUACAUGUCUCCAUAUCCUUGUUGAGAGGAUUUGCCCUUCUGUUCUGAUGGUAGAUUUGGGUUAGUGAAGUCCCUUGAACGUUCAUUAUUGUAGUUCACUUGCAAUUCAUCUAGAUUAGAGAACUGUAUGUCAAGCUGACAGCAGCCA
rnacentral:misc_RNA from 1 species